ACACAGCGCCACAAGUGGCAACCGCUUUUAUUGGGCCUAAAGCGUUCGUAGCCGGUUUAGCAAAUUUUCUGUGAAAUCGUUGCACUCAAUGUAACGACGUGCAGGAAACACUACUAAACUAGGGACCGGGAGGCGUCAGAGGUAUUCUUGAGGGAGCGGUAAAAUGUUAUAAUCUCAAGAGGACCCCCUGUGGCGAAGGCGUCUGACGAGAACGGAUCCGACGGUGAGGAACGAAAGCCAGGGGAGCGAACCGGAUUAGAUACCCGAGUAGUCC
rnacentral:rRNA from 1 species